rnacentral:rRNA from 1 species
UACGGAGGAGGCAAGCGUUAUCCGGAAUCAUUGGGCGUAAAGCGUCCGCAGGCGGCUUAUCAAGUCUGCUGUCAAAGACUGGGGCUCAACCCUGGGAAGGCAGUGGAAACUGGCAAGCUAGAGUGCAGUAGGGGUAGAGGGAAUUCCCAGUGUAGCGGUGAAAUGCGUAGAGAUUGGGAAGAACACCGGUGGCGAAAGCGCUCUACUGGGCUGCAACUGACGCUGAGGGACGAAAGCUAGGGGAGCGAAAGGG